GACGUAGGGCGCGAGCGUUGUCCGGAUUUAUUGGGCGUAAAGAGCUCGUAGGCGGCUUGUCGCGUCGACCGUGAAAACUUGGGGCUCAACCCCAAGCCUGCGGUCGAUACGGGCAGGCUCGAGUUCGGUAGGGGAGACUGGAAUUCCUGGUGUAGCGGUGAAAUGCGCAGAUAUCAGGAGGAACACCGAUGGCGAAGGCAGGUCUCUGGGUCGAUACUGACGCUGAGGAGCGAAAGCGUGGGGAGCGAACAGG
rnacentral:rRNA from 1 species